rnacentral:rRNA from 1 species
CGGUUGAUCCUGCCGGACCCCACUGCUAUCGGGAUAGGACUAAGACAUGCAAGUCAAGCGCUUUCUAGCUAAUGUGAGAGCGCGGCGUACAGCUCAGUAACACGUGGCCAACCUGCCCUUGGGACGGGAACACCCCCGGGAAACUGGGGUUAAUUCCCGAUAGGUGAAGAAGUCUGGAAUGAAUCUUCGCUCAAAAGACGUUUAUGUCAUGCUCAUACUCGUCGCCCAGGGACGGGGCCGCGACCGAUCAGGUUGUUGGUGAGGUAAUGGCUCACCAAGCCUUUUACCGGUGCGGGCCGUGAGAGCGGGAGCCCGGAGAUGGGCACUGAGACAAAGGCCCAGGCCCCACGGGGCGCAGCAGUCGCGAAAACUUUGCAAUACACGAAAGUGUGACAGGGCUAUCCCGAGUGCCAUCCGCUGAGGAAGGCUUUUACCCAGUAUAAAUAGCUGGGAGAAUAAGGAGAGGGCAAGUCUGGUGUCAGCCGCCGCGGUAAUACCAGCUCUCCGAGUAGUGUGGAUGUUUAUUGGGCCUAAAGCAUCCGUAGCUUGCUAGAUAAGUCCCCUGUUAAAUCCACCGAUUUAAUCGUUGGAUUGCGGGGGAUACUGUUUGGCUAGGGGACGGGAGAGGUCGACGGUAUUUCCGGGGUAGGGGUGAAAUCCUAUAAUCCCGGGAGGANCACCAGUGGCGAAGGCUGUCGACUAGAACGCGCCCGACGGUGAGGGAUGAAAGCUGGGGGAGCGAACCGGAUUAGAUACCCGGGUAGUCCCAGCUGUAAACGAUGCNGCUAGGNNNUUGGGNCGGNCACGAGCCGCCCUANUGCCNCAG